UUUUAAUUGAAACCAAAAAGAGGUAAAUCACUGUUAAUGAUUUUAAUGAUAAUCUCCAAUUAAA
rnacentral:tRNA from 1 species